GAUGAACGCUGGCGGCGUGCCUAAUACAUGCAAGUCGAGCGAACAGACGAGGAGCUUGCUCCUCUGACGUUAGCGGCGGACGGGUGAGUAACACGUGGAUAACCUACCUAUAAGACUGGGAUAACUUCGGGAAACCGGAGCUAAUACCGGAUAAUAUAUUGAACCGCAUGGUUCAAUAGUGAAAGACGGUUUUGCUGUCACUUAUAGCUGGAUCCGCGCCGCAUUAGCUAGUUGGUAAGGUAACGGCUUACCAAGGCAACGAUGCGUGGCCGACCUGAGAGGGUGAACGGCCACACUGGAACUGAGACGCGGUCCAGACUCCUACGGGAGGCAGCAGUAGGGAAUCUUCCGCAAUGGGCGAAAGCCUGACGGAGCAACGCCGCGUGAGUGAUGAAGGUCUUCGGAGCGUAAAACUCUGUUAUUAGGGAAGAACAAAUGUGUAAGUAACUAUGCACGUCUUGACGGUACCUAAUCAGAAAGCCACGGCUAACUACGUG
rnacentral:rRNA from 1 species